rnacentral:rRNA from 1 species
AUUGAACGCUGGCGGCAGGCCUAACACAUGCAAGUCGAGCGCGCGGCGGACGGGUGAGUAAUGUCUGGGAAACUGCCUGAUGGAGGGGGAUAACUCCUGGAAACGGUAGCUAAUACCGCAUACCAUCGGAUGUGCCCAGAUGGGAUUAGCUUGUAGGUGAGGUAACGGCUCACCUAGGCGACGAUCCAUAGCUGGUCUGAGAGGAUGACCAGCCACUCUGGAACUGAGAAACGGUCCAGAAUCCUACGGUAGGCAGCAUUGGGGAAUAUUGCACAAUGGGCGCAAGCCUGAGGCAGCAAUGACGAGUGUAUGAAGAAGGCCUUCGGGUUGUAAAGUACUUUCAGCGGGGAGGCGUUACCCGCAGAAGAAGCACCGGCUAACUCCGUGCCAGCCGCCGCGGUAAUUC